rnacentral:rRNA from 1 species
AGAGUUUCAUUCUGGCUCAGGAUGAACGCUGGCGGCGUGCCUAACACAUGCAAGUCGGGCGAAGCACUUUACUUGAUUUCUUCGGAUUGAAGGUAUAGUGACUGAGCGGCGGACGGGUGAGUAACGCGUGGGUAACCUGCCUCAUACAGGGGGAUAACAGUUAGAAAUGACUGCUAAUACCGCAUAAGACCACAGCACCGCAUGGUGCGGGGGUAAAAACUCCGGUGGUAUGAGAUGGACCCGCGUCUGAUUAGCUAGUUGGUAAGGUAAGGGCUUACCAAGGCGACGAUCAGUAGCCGACCUGAGAGGGUGACCGGCCACAUUGGGACUGAGACACGGCCCAAACUCCUACGGGAGGCAGCAGUGGGGAAUAUUGCACAAUGGGGGAAACCCUGAUGCAGCGACGCCGCGUGAGUGAUGAAGUAUUUCGGUAUGUAAAGCUCUAUCAGCAGGGAAGAAAAUGACGGUACCUGACUAAGAAGCACCGGCUAAAUACGUGCCAGCAGCCGCGGUAAUACGUAUGGUGCAAGCGUUAUCCGGAUUUACUGGGUGUAAAGGGAGCGUAGACGGAGAGGCAAGUCUGAUGUGAAAACCCGGGGCUCAACCCCGGGACUGCAUUGGAAACUGUUUUUCUAGAGUGUCGGAGAGGCAAGUGGAAUUCCUAGUGUAGCGGUGAAAUGCGUAGAUAUUAGGAGGAACACCAGUGGCGAAGGCGGCUUGCUGGACGAUGACUGACGUUGAGGCUCGAAAGCGUGGGGAGCAAACAGGAUUAGAUACCCUGGUAGUCCACGCCGUAAGCGAUGACAUAAUAGGUGUCGGGUGGCAAAGCCAUUCGGUGCCGCAGCAAACGCAAUAAGUAGUCCACCUGGCGAGUACGUUCGCAAGAAUGAAACUCAAAGGAAUAGACGGGGACCCGCACAAGCGGUGGAGCAUGUGGUUUAAUUCGAAGCAACGCGAAGAACCUUACCUGCUCUUGACAUCCCCCUGACCGUCCCUUAAUCGGGGCUUUCCUUCGGGACAGGGGAGACAGGUGGUGCAUGGUUGUCGUCAGCUCGUGUCGUGAGAUGUUGGGUUAAGUCCCGCAACGAGCGCAACCCCUAUCUUUAGUAGCCAGCGGCCGGGCCGGGCACUCUAGAGAGACUGCCAGGGAUAACCUGGAGGAAGGUGGGUAUGACGUCAAAUCAUCAUGCCCCUUAUGAGCAGGGCUACACACGUGCUACAAUGGCGUAAACAAAGGGAGGCAGAGCCGCGAGGCCGAGCAAAUCUCAAAAAUAACGUCUCAGUUCGGAUUGUAGUCUGCAACUCGACUACAUGAAGCUGGAAUCGCUAGUAAUCGCGAAUCAGAAUGUCGCGGUGAAUAAAAUCCCGGGUCUUGCACA